AGAGUUUGAUCCUGGCUCAGGACGAACGCUGGCGGCGUGCCUAACACAUGCAAGUCGAACGGAGUUGAAAGGAGCUUGCUUUUUUCAACUCAGUGGCGGACGGGUGAGUAACGCGUGAGUAACCUGCCUUUCAGAGGGGGAUAACGUUCUGAAAAGAACGCUAAUACCGCAUAAGAUUGUAGCUUCGCAUGGAGCAGCAAUCAAAGGAGCAAUCCGCUGAAAGAUGGACUCGCGUCCGAUUAGAUAGUUGGCGGGGUAACGGCCCACCAAGUCGACGAUCGGUAGCCGGACUGAGAGGUUGAUCGGCCACAUUGGGACUGAGACACGGCCCAGACUCCUACGGGAGGCAGCAGUGAGGGAUAUUGGGCAAUGGGGGAAACCCUGACCCAGCAACGCCGCGUGAGGGAUGACGGUUUUCGGAUUGUAAACCUCUGUCCUCUGUGAAGAUAGUGACGGUAGCAGAGGAGGAAGCUCCGGCUAACUACGUGCCAGCAGCCGCGGUAAUACGUAGGGAGCAAGCGUUGUCCGGAUUUACUGGGUGUAAAGGGUGCGUAGGCGGAUUGGCAAGUCAGAAGUGAAAUCCAUGGGCUUAACCCAUGAACUGCUUUUGAAACUGUUAGUCUUGAGUGAAGUAGAGGUAGGCGGAAUUCCCGGUGUAGCGGUGAAAUGCGUAGAGAUCGGGAGGAACACCAGUGGCGAAGGCGGCCUACUGGGCUUUAACUGACGCUGAGGCACGAAAGUGUGGGUAGCAAACAGGAUUAGAUACCCUGGUAGUCCACACUGUAAACGAUGAUUACUAGGUGUGGGGGGUCUAACCCCCUCCGUGCCGGAGUUAACACAAUAAGUAAUCCACCUGGGGAGUACGACCGCAAGGUUGAAACUCAAAGGAAUUGACGGGGGCCCGCACAAGCAGUGGAGUAU
rnacentral:rRNA from 1 species